rnacentral:rRNA from 1 species
GACGUAGGGGGCCAGCGUUGCUCGGAAUUACUGGGUGUAAAGGGUUCGUAGGCGGUGUGGCAAGUCGGGAGUGAAAUCUCUGGGCUCAACCCAGAGGCUGCUUCCGAAACUGCCGUGCUUGAGUGUGGGAGAGGCGCGUGGAACUGCAGGUGUAGCGGUGAAAUGCGUAGAUAUCUGCAGGAACACCCGUGGCGAAAGCGGCGCGCUGGACCACAACUGACGCUGAGGAACGAAAGCUAGGGGAGCAAACAGG